rnacentral:rRNA from 1 species
UACGUAGGUGGCUAGCGUUGUCCGGAUUUACUGGGCGUAAAGGGCUUGUAGGCGGCUUUGCAAGUCGGGUGUGAAUCCCCGGGCUUAACCUGGGAACUGCAUUCGAGACUGCAUUGCUAGAGUAUGGGAGAGGGAAGUGGAAUUUCCGGUGUAGCGGUGAAAUGCGUAGAUAUAGGAAGGAACACCAGUGGCGAAGGCGACCACCUGGACUGAUACUGACACUGAGGUGCGAAAGCGUGGGGAGCAAACAGG